CUGACAGAGAGGAGAGCAGCUACUGCUUUCGCUUACUGUCACGCUUCAGAGAACCCCCCUCAGUUAGCCCGUGGCUUGUUUAGAGUUGCGCUUCCUCUGUACCUCGGUGCCCCAAAAUCCAGUGUAGCUGAGUCGGGUGAGAUAGAUUAGUUUAUGUGUGUGUGUCUCUGAUUGGUAUCACACAGCUCUGGUGUGAAGUUUGCUGGCACUGCACCUACACUCAGAUGUUCUUGAAAGCUUUCGUUUAUCGAUUGACCCGGGACAGUCAGGGCUUGUGUUUGGCGGGGGGCUGUCCUCGCUUCUCUAGGGCCACUGUGUGGAGUCAGGGUCAGCCAUGUUAGGUUUGUGUUUGGUUCAGGGUGGCUAGCGUAUUCCAUGUUAGGUUUGUGUUUGGUUCAGGGUGGCUAAUGUCUGCCAUGUUAGAUUUGUGUUUGGUUCAGAGUGGCUAAUGUCGGCCAUGUUAGAUUUGUGUUUGGUUCACAGUGGAUAGCGUCGGCCAUGUUAGGUUUUGUUUGGUUUAGAGUGGUUAGCGUCGGCCAUGUUAGGUUUCGUUUGGUUUAGAGUGGUUAGCGUCGGCCAUGUUAGGUUUUGUUUGGUUUAGAGUGGUUAGCGUCGGCCAUGUUAGGUUUUGGUUGGUUUAGAGUGGUUAGCGUCGGCCAUGUUAGGUUUCGUUUGGUUUAGAGUGGUUAGCGUCGGCCAUGUUAGGUUUUGUUGGGUUUAGAGUGGUUAGCGUCGGCCAUGUUAGGUUUUGUUGGGUUUAGAGUGGUUAGCGUCGGCCAUGUUAGGUUUUGUUGGGUUUAGAGUGGUUAGCGUCGGCCAUGUUAGGUUUCGUUGGGUUUAGAGUGGUUAGCGUCGGCCAUGUUAGGUUUUGUUGGGUUUAGAGUGGUUAGCGUCGGCCAUGUUAGGUUUUGGUUGGUUUAGAGUGGUUAGCGUCGGCCAUGUUAGGUUUCGUUGGGUUUAGAGUGGUUAGCGUCGGCCAUGUUAGGUUUUGUUUGGUUUAGAGUGGUUAGCGUCGGCCAUGUUAGGUUUUGUUGGGUUUAGAGUGGUUAGCGUCGGCCAUGUUAGGUUUUGGUUGGUUUAGAGUGGUUAGCGUCGGCCAUGUUAGGUUUUGGUUGGUUUAGAGUGGUUAGCGUCGGCCAUGUUAGGUUUCGUUGGGUUUAGAGUGGUUAGCGUCGGCCAUGUUAGGUUUUGUUGGGUUUAGAGUGGUUAGCGUCGGCCAUGUUAGGUUUUGUUGGGUUUAGAGUGGUUAGCGUCGGCCAUGUUAGGUUUUGGUUGGUUUAGAGUGGUUAGCGUCGGCCAUGUUAGGUUUUGGUUGGUUUAGAGUGGUUAGCGUCGGCCAUGUUAGGUUUUGUUGGGUUUAGAGUGGUUAGCGUCAGCCAUGUUAGGUUUUGUUGGGUUUAGAGUGGUUAGCCUCGACCAUGUUAGAUUUUGUUUGGUUUAGAGUGGUUAGCGUCGGCCAUGUUAGGUUUUGUUGGGUUUAGAGUGGUUAGUGUCGGCCAUGUUAGGUUUUGUUGGGUUUAGAGUGGUUAGCGUCGGCCAUGUUAGGUUUCGUUUGGUUUAGAGUGGUUAGCGUCGGCCAUGUUAGGUUUUGUUGGGUUUAGAGUGGUUAGCGUCGGCCAUGUUAGGUUUUGUUGGGUUUAGAGUGGUUAGCGUCGGCCAUGUUAGGUUUUGUUGGGUUUAGAGUGGUCAGCGUCGGCCAUGUUAGGUUUUGUUUGGUUUAGAGUGGUUAGCGUCGGCCAUGUUAGGUUUUGUUGGGUUUAGAGUGGUUAGCGUCGGCCAUGUUAGGUGUUGUUGGGUUUAGAGUGGUUAGCGUCGGCCAUGUUAGGUUUUGUUUGGUUUAGAGUGGCUAGCAUCGGCCAGGGACUUCAGAAAGACCUCUGCUAUGUACCCGCUUACAGAUCUUUUCUUCUCACACAGAAAACACCAAAUUCACCCAAAUUCAGUGUUUGAAUGAGGAUGAGGAGGGUGAAG